GCCCUUGUAGCUCAGUGGUAGAGCGCAGCACUCGUAUGACUUUCGGGUUCGACAUGCUGAGGUCCAUAGUUCAAUCCUGUGCGGGGGCA